ACUACUUGAGGAUGCUUGAAACUGAAAGGAAGGUGCCAGUGGAAUAAGGGAGGAAGAUCAUGGACAGUAGGAGGGUAGUCCCUGAGGAGGAUGGAAGAGACUGGAUCCCUAGCACAGGGGAGGAAUUAGCCUUCAGAAGCUAAUCUCAUGGAGAGGUCAACUGCUGAGAGGGAAAUGGGAAAAGGAAGCGAGAAAAGUUUGAAGAGCACGAAGAUUUGAAGUGGCUACUGGAAAGAAUUGGACAUACUGCUAAGCAGCACUGAGGACCCAGACUAUUGCUUCGUCUUGAACUGGAGGACAUAAGGCAGCCAUCUACAGGGCCCUGGAAUACAAAACAACGAGUCCCCACCUGCAGA